UACGAACGCUGGCGGCGCGCCUAACACAUGCAAGUCGCACGAGAAACUCUGUAGCAAUACAGGGCGGUAAAGUGGCGAACGGGUGAGUAAUGCGUGGGUAACCUGCCUCCGAGUUGGGGAUAACCCCGCGAAAGGCGGGGCGUAAUACCGAAUAAGACCACAUUACCAAAAGGUAAGUGGGAUCAAAGGUAGGCCUAUGACCCGCCAAGGGUUAUGCUGCCGCUUGGAGGAGGGGCUCACGUCCCAUCAGCUUGUUGGUAGGGUAAUGGCCUACCAAGGCAAUGACGGGGUAGCUGGUCUGAGAGGACGACCAGCCACACUGGCAC
rnacentral:rRNA from 1 species